CAACACCACAACCGAGCAAAUACUUCAUUUUCACUCUGAUUACUUAAUCGUUAAGAGCAACUACACUAAGAAAAAAAGGGUACAAAAGCUGUCACUGGGGCAGUACACUUCCAAAAAGUUUUAAUAUGUACCAUUUAGGUACUAAUAUGCACUCUUUAGGUACAAAGGUGUACCUUUUGAAAGGAUACUGCCCCAGUGACUGCUUUUGUACCUUUUUUUCUGAGAUUGUUUCAUUCUUCCAUGAAAAAUUAUAAACCUUUUAAGUAUCCAGAUGCACAAUAACUCACAUCAAAACUGUAAUUCAUAAGAGUUAGCCAGUUGGCAAAAUAUGUAUUAAGAGUCAUAUGAAAAUAUAUGGCUUUUGGCUCCCACUGAGACAAAUCAAUCAAACAAAUUCAUUCAAAUCAGUAUCUGUAUUGUCAACAGCAGAUUUGAAUGAGUGAGAUUUGUAUUUUUUAGGCCACAUUUUAGCUCCUUUUGUGUUAAAUGAAAAAGAAAAAACAAGAUGAGGAUAAAAGGACAAUUAUAAUUUUGAAUAUGACUGAAAACAAAGAAUACGCAUUCACUCUUUAUUCACAACUGCAUACUAAUUCACAUUGUAUAAUUCCUGCAUUAUGAUACUGAUUUGGCAUUAUAUUGGCUGAUUGGUUUGUCUCACUGGGUGUAAAACAUGUAUGACCUCUUAUGGCUUCAAACAUGGUUAACUCAUAGUAACUCAGGUUUUUUUUUUUUUUUGGCACAAAAUCAAGUAAAUCAAUUCUAUAAGCAGAAGUGAUCCAGGUCAUUAGUGCUCAUUUUUUUCAGAC